rnacentral:sRNA from 1 species
GCCAGGCAUGGUGGUGCAUGCCUGUAGUCCCAGCUACUCUGGAGGCUAAGGCAGAAGAAUUGCUUGAACCCAGGAGACAGAGGUUGCAGUGAGCCAAGACUGUGCCACUGCACUCCAGCCUGGGUGAUAAAGCAAGACACUGUCUUAA